AAAGAAAUGGUAGAAAAGAAGACAGUUUUGAUUUAUAAAUUAUUACGAGUUGAAAAUCAUUGAAAAAAUAAUUUCCUCACUAAAGAACAACUUUAUUUGGGUUAAUUAUAUCUCUUGAAUUGGAAAUGAAAGUUCUUCCAUUAAUAUUAAGUGUUCAGUUGAAAGAAAAAAAUAGGAAUGCAUUGAGAGCAAUCAGGAACUGUCAGAACUAGACAAAGUAACUGAUAACUUCUUUGGUGUGAAAGAAAAAAAAGCAACAAGUUAAAAGAAACUAGCUGGAAAUAAAGAAGAAAAAUAACUAAAUAAAAGAAAGAAUUAAAUUGAGAUGGAAUGAAUUGCUGUACCCUUAUUACUUGUAAAUAUUUUAAAUUAAAUAUAUUACACACUU